UUCAGAUAUGAUCUGACAACAUCUGUUCUCUCCAAUGUGGUACAUACUUCAGCACCACAAGGUGCUAUGCUGAGUGCCACAACAAAUAGGAAGAUGAUUUAAAUAUAUGUCCUGUAUCAAGAGGUCAAUAUGGAGAUGGCAGUGACCUGAUGAUUAGCAAGGUUGAGAAUGUCUUUUGUAAUAAAAGAAAUAAGUGCAUGUCCUGAGAAUUCAGAGAUAGGAGAAGUUAUUUCCAACUGGGGAUUUAUUUCAUGAGAAUAUCAGCACAUGAGCUGGACCUUCAAAGUGAGUAAGAUUUGAACAUAUAAAGAAGCAAGAGUGACCUACUGAAGUACUCUGAGCUCCAGAAUGACACAGCAAAAGCUCUAUUUCAGGAAGAUUAAACAGACUGAGAGGAAGGACCAGACCUUCAGAAUUGUUGUCAUCUGCUUCAGUGAAGAAGAAACAUCAAAACUUUCUUUCCCAGGCAGUUUCUUCAAAUGGUGCACCAAAUAAGCAAGGCCAUACUUUUUCGUGAGACAAUCCCCUUUCUUCCCAUUGCAUCAGUAUUUCAGUCGCAGAUUCUAAUCACCCCUCAAAUAGACACUGUUUAUAAUCAAAUUGUAUUUUUUAGUAACUAAUCUGAUCAUAUACUGUAACCACUAGGAAGAGCACAGGGGUCUCAAUCACUGAUGCAGUCCAAGAUCUAAUAAGGGUCAAGGACUAAACGGAGACCCAGAAGAGACAAAACUAGCAUCACAAGGAGUCACAGAGGUGGGAGAGGAAUGGAUGAGUCACCAUGGUGCCCCCAAACUUGUUGGAGAAAAAGUGUAUUAUGGGUACACUAGAAAAUUCCUAACUAUGUUUAUUAAGUAGGUUACCAUUCUUUUAUUUCUGUAACAGGUAAAAAUAAAAAUAGACCAAAACAAAAUAAAAAGGGACACUCUAAUUCAGUGAC